rnacentral:misc_RNA from 1 species
CAUUUAUAAGUUGAAGGAACGAGCUCGAAGAACAUAGUCAGACACGCAGUUGCGAAGAUGGCUCACUUGUCCUGUCUCUCCGCAUUCUCUCUCUCCUUACUUUUAGUAUUCAUGAUGAGCGCCGGCGCGGACUGCCAAGCGCUCGCCAACGACACGGCGCAGCUGGGGGCGCUGCUGGCGACGCACCUCGAGCACACCAUCGACACGCUCAACUCCUUCACGAGCAUCGUGUCGCUGCUCGGCGGCGUGGCCGGUCUCGGGUAGUGGCUGCGUCGACUGUGACCGCGAGUCCUCGAGAGACGCGAAGCGUUCGCCUGUGUGCCGGGUUUUCAUUUAACUAAAGAUAAAAUUAUAAAUAAAUUGUUUUAAUCAUAACUUUUUUCUUUUUUUUUUUGUUUAAAUAAAAAUUAUUAUCGAGGAAAUAACGGUGAUGAACUUUACCACGGUUAUUUCAUUAAUAUAAUGUUAAAAAUACAAUGUCCUUAAAUAAAUUCCUAGCUUUUCAAUUUUUCAAA